rnacentral:rRNA from 1 species
UGCCAGCAGCCGCGGUAAGACAGAGGGUGCGAGCGUUAAUCGGAAUUACUGGGCGUAAAGGGCACGUAGGUUGGUAUUUAAGUCAGUUGUGAAAGCCUCGAGCUUAACUUGAGAACUGCAUCUGAAACUGGAUACCUAGAGUUUGGUAGAGGGAAGCGGAAUUUCCGAAGUAGCGGUGAAAUGCAUAGAUAUCGGAAGGAACACCAGUGGCGAAGGCGACUUCCUGGACCAAUACUGACACUGAGGUGCGAAAGCGUGGGGAGCGAACAGGAUUAGAUA